CCCUUAGAUGUCCUGGGCGGCCCGCGCGCUACAAUGUCAGCUACUGAAGGUUAAUGCUUUGAAAGAGAGCGCGCUCUCCUUUUAAUUGCUCGCAUGCUGGGAUAAAUGAAUGCAAUUUUGUUUUGAACGAGGAAUUCCUAGCAGCCAUGUUUCACUAGAAGAUGGCGAAUGCGUCCCUGCCCUUUGUACACACCGCCCGUCGCUCCUACCGAUGAGCGUUUUGGCGAAGACGGUUUGAGUAGCUGCGUAAUUUCGUGUUGUUGACUCCGGCAGUUUGAGCCUUCACGUUUAGAGGAAGGAGAAGUCGUAACA
rnacentral:rRNA from 1 species